rnacentral:rRNA from 1 species
GCUUAGCCCUAAACACAGAUAUUAUAAUACACUAUAUCCGCCAGAGAACUACAAGCGAAAAGCUAGAAACUCCARGGACUGGGCGGUGCUUCAAACCAGUCUAGAGGAGCCUGUCCUAUAAUCGAUACUCCACGUUAUACCUUACCCCCCUUAGUCCCCAGCCUAUAUACCGCCGUCGUCAGCCUACCUUAUGAGAGAAACAAAGUAAGCAAAACAGUUAAUAACUAAAACGUCAGGUCAAGGUGUAGCACAUGGGGGGGCAGAGAUGGGCUACAUUUUUCAAAACAAACACACGGACAGCAUGUUGAAACACAUGUUUGAAGGUGGAUUUAGUAGUAAAAUAAGCGAGAAAGCUGUAUUGAAAACUGCUCUGAAGCGCGC